GGCAACAUACAGCCUGAUCAUCAACUAUGGACCAGAUGAUGUUUCUAUUAAGGGUCUGGAUGUGGUGAAUUCAGGGGCUUCCUGUGUCUCUGUCUUGCUCUGCAAAUUCUGUACCUUCUGCCUCAUUCAGAUGGACGUUUAAUGGAACAGACACCAAUGUGACCACAGACACAUUCACCAUAGAUAAGACUGACUUCACACACAGUGGAUAUUACGACUGCACUGCCUGGAAUAACGCCACAAACAGAAGCGCCUCACAAAGACAUGUUUUACUAGUUAAAGAUCACGUUGAUGGCAGUAUGGCUGUUGGAUCAAUAUUCAGAGUGAUUAUAAUUAUUGUUGAGACUGCAGUGUUUGUUGCUCCUACUGUGAUUCUUCUUCAGAUCAUCUGUGCAAGAAGAGCUGGAAGGAAAGACCACCCAGAGGAAAUGGAGAUGCAUACUACAGUAUUAGAAUAAACACACUCUGCAAAUAAAAGGCAAGAUUUAUCUUCAUGUUUGUGAAUAUUAUAAUUUUCCAGUGCUCCAUAUUAUAUAGACUGCUUUGAAUAUGAUGUUUAUCAUUUAAUUUCUUGAUUUAUCAAAUGAUGCAUUGAUAUUUGUUUUCUCUCUGUCUUGUAUUACAUUUAAUACAGCUUGUUAAAUGGAAAAUUACUGCUUAUGCUGUUAUUUGUUUUGGGAAGCACUUCUGAAACUAAGGAAGUGAGGCAAGGGCGCAGAUGUUUUGUCUAGAUAGCUUGGAGUUCAAAAGGGCAUGUUUAGACUGUUUUUUUAUUAUUCUGAUCCAUAUAUGGUAACAUGUUUUAUGAUUGGUUUGAAGUAACAAGGAACAAUAAGAGGGGUAUAUAAGAGCAGCACUGUGUGAGGGUGUUCCUCUCUGUAUAACUCUGUAUCUGCAUUGAACAACCUUCUUGCAAGAAUAAAAUCAACGUAGACAUUU